GAUUUUCUAUAUGCAGCUUGCACAGAUGCUCUGUGUGUGUAUGUUGGAAAGCUGUUUAACAUACCAAAUAGGAUGAGCUCUCAACUCAAAAGACAGGUUACCACCCCGCUAGGUGUGGAAGAUCUUUAUUCACUGCUUUAUGGGACACUUUUCCCCACCCUUUUUGGUAAACUAUCUAACUCAAUUGAAGGAGGAACAGAUGUCUGGUAGAAAAUCUCUGAUGUCUGGAUAGACAUUUUGCAGGACCUCCAAGGAUCUUUUGAGGACUGGGUCUAAAAAAGCAUGAAGCUAUAGAGACGUGUUCUUGAUGCACUAUAAUUGCUGACAUGUAUACUUCUAUGUAUACCUGACUAGAACUACUGGAGCCAGAAAGGAAAAUUUUGUUUUAUCAUGACAUUUGCUCAAUAAACAUUUCUUACAAUUCUCUUCA
rnacentral:lncRNA from 1 species